AGCUCGUUCCUCUGGGAACUGCCCUGUAGUGUCUGCAUACAGCCACCCUCGACCUGUCUGCCUGGUCUUUGCAACCUCUAGUGGCUGUUGUUCCACAAUGUGUUGUGAAGGGACCUGAAUGGUUUGCACCCAAACACAAACACAAACCAUGAAGCUCCCUUCCUAGAAAGGUCAGAGCCGUUCCUUCCCAUUCAUGUGUUGAAAUAAACACAUGAUUCAGUUAUCACCCUUCCUCAAACCCCUCCAGCUUACAUGCUUUGGGCACCUCGAUCCCAAAACUUCAGGUAGACUUCUGAGGAUCCCGGGGAGGAUGGUCCUCGCUCCUCUUUCAUAUAAGGGAAAUGGACGAAUAGUGGGAGUGGUAGGGCUUAGGCUAUGCGCUCUCCAGCCCUAAGGGUUAGAACUUCUGCCCAGAAGCCUGCCUGGACCAGGGACACCAGACAGGUGCCCACCAUAACUGUCAUCUGAGAGGCUUCACUGAGCAAAUAAUGAAAACAGAUGCAGAGACCCACAGCCAGACAUUAAGUGAAGCUUGGGGAAAUCUGUGGAAGAGGAGGAGGAAGGAUUGAAGGAGCAAGAGAAGUCAAGGACACUAAAAGAAAAUCUACAAAAUCAUCUAACCCUGGACCCUUGGAGGCUCACAGAGACUGAACUGGCCAGCCAGAGCGCAUGCAUGGGAAGGACCUAGGACCCCUGCACAUAGGUAACAGCUGUGCAGCCGGGCCUUCAUAUGGGACUCCUAACGUGGGAGCAGGAGUUGUCUCUAACUCUGUUGCCUGCCUUUCUCCUAACUGGGCUGACUUGUCUAGACACAGUAGAAGAAGAUGCACCUAGACUUACUGCAACUUGAUGUUCCAAGGCUGGUUGUUAUUCAUGGGAGGCCUC
rnacentral:lncRNA from 1 species